ACAAUAUUCUCAUUUUACUACUAGAUAGACUAGAUUCCUAGAAGUAAUAAAAACCUUAUCACUUUCCUUUUUCUUUUUCCCUUUCUCUUUCUCUCCGGUUUUAUUUCUCCCUCUCUUUCUAUCCUCUUCUGCUAAUCCUAGAUCUUCUGAAAUAAAACGAAAUCUACUAGUAAAAACUCACAAACUAUCUCCUCUAAACACGUAUUUCAUAAAUCAAAGUCCAUCUUUCAGAAAUCAAACCCAAUCUUCAUUAAACCAAAAUUCAUUUGCAACCCUAGAUAUUUGAUUUUCUCCUUCAUAAACUCUAGCAAACUAAACUAUUCUCUCUAUUCUCUAUAGUUGAGUUCUGUCCAACCCAAGGAGAUUACAGAUUCAGAGACUAAGCAGACCCAUCCCUUAUUGGAUCCGUAUGGAACUGAUAAAUCAGCAGCUUAUUAUAUCUAUGCAUCAACAUCUCUAGAGAUGGAAACAAAGAUGGAAAGAAUAUUUUUCGUGGGGGUGUGAAGUGAUCAUCCCUUCAUAACUCCAAAUUUCGUGGCCCUUGUUGAUAACCCAAAUUUGUCAUAACUCUUAUGCUGCCUUGUCCAGUUUGUUGCCAAAACCCGGGUCAGCAAGACAUAUUGUUUUUCACUUCGUCGAUUCUUGAGGCAUAUCAUACAUAGUAAAUCCUCAUUUUGGAUACAGGAACCGACCAACUGGUGUUCCUCUGAACCUUACAAAUAUUGUUCGGCUGAGAAAAAAAUUGGGUUUGCAUGUAGACUUGUUUGUCCGUAAGAUUUAGAAGCAUUCAGAGGGAUUUAAAGCAACUGAUAUGAUUGUACCUAACCAUUUCUAGUUCGCAGAUGGACAGGAAAAUCUUUAUUCGGGACUCUUACGCCAGACAUAAUUGUCCUCACAAUCUUGUAUAGACCAAGUCAAAACCACUAUUUUUUCGA